rnacentral:misc_RNA from 1 species
GGAGCACUGUAGCAGCAGCGCAUCACUAUCAAGAACCCCCUCCCAUCCCCCACCGAGAAAACGAAAGACGUACGUCCAUGGCCAAUCAAAGAAACGAAGCAACCUUCUAUCACGCCAUGAGGAUGAGGAUAUGGAAGCCACAACCACAACCACAAUCCCCGGCGGCGGAGGGGAAAAGGAAAGAAUCCGGAAAUCGGCGAUCAAGGAAGAGGAGAAGCGACUCACCUUUGGGAGGGUGGCCAGUGUGCCGAGGAAGAAGAGGGUUUUAGUUUUAGUAGGCGAGGAGGGGCAGAGGGCAGUGGGGCGGGUUGAGCGCGGAGGAAGCCUCCGCGCACACGGCACACGUAUGCGACGAGAUCCAAAGUUAAAAGUGGUAUCGCUAGAUCAUGAUUCAAACGUUUCUUUCGUUUAAGCAAACGAGGCAACGGCGACUGAUCACUGAUCCGCCACUCAAAAGGAAGAGGGGGAGGACACCAGGCUCCAGGUCUGUCAAGAUGGAGCAGAAGAUGGCUUUGGUCAAGCAGAGGCUGGCUGGCCUUGCUUGAUUGUACCAGCAGCUGAAGCAGGUACCUGAAUCAAAGACCACGGUUAGACCCUGCGUGAAAUGAUCCAACACUGGCUUCAGAGUAGCACCGUUUCUUUGAUUAAGCUCAGCACAUGUUCAUCUCAAGUCUGUGAAUGAUAGCUGGUACCUGAAUCACUACUAUGAAACUUGGCAUUUGUGAUAUCUUUGAUUUCACCACCAGUACUGUAGAUAGUGUUGCCCUUCAAGCCUCUUUUAGUUUGCUGUUUGUUUGAUCAAACUUGCCAUCUAGAAGAUGCUCCUUUUGUACCAUAUUAGGCUAUCUCCAGCAGUUUACCUAUAUCUAUAUUCCAACUUCACUCUGCGA